CACUGAUGAUGAUGAAAAUCAAAAUACUCAGUUUGUCCACACCGUGGAUAUCAAUAAUUUUAAUAAGAAGCGAGUUGUUUGUAUGACAAGUUAAAUCUGCUCUAACCAGUCGCACACCCUCCUGACAUUCACGAUCAUGGUCCACAGACUGCACAUCGCUGGAUUCAAAGCUUAACACUAAAUACGGAUGCCUCGGACACGGGAUUGGGAGCCGUCCUCUCCCAGGUACAGGACGGUGAGGAACAUCCCAUAAUCUACAUCAGCCGGAAGCUGACCCCCGCUGAUCAACGCUAUGCCACCGUGGAGAGGGAGGCGUUGGCCGUCAAGUGGGCAGUCCUGGAGCUAAGGUAUUAUCUAUUGGGAAGGAUAUUUACCUUGAUUACUGACCAUGCCCCCCCUUCGGUGGUUCCUAGCGCUCCAGGACUUCCACUUCAGCGUACAACACCGAGCCGGGACGGCCAACGCCAACGCCGACGGACUCUCCAGGAUUUGGUCAGCUUUCGCAAGUCUGUCAGGGCACACUCCCCACCCACCCCCAAUCUUCCCAUUGUACAAGAGGACCAGGACAAUGUUAGUGGGGGGGAGUGAUCAGCAUCGCCCUGGAAACACACAAGGAGCACCUGGAAAACUCAUCACCGGCUGAUCGGUCACCACUGACACACAAGUGAGUGAUCACUCCAGAAGACUGGAUGCUAAUGCUGUUCUUCGUGUUCCCCUACAGAGAGCCCGUGACUGAUCAGCACCCCACGCACGGACACGCCGCACCUGGAACACCACCACGAUCAGCGCACCAGCACUUCCCACUUCCCACUUCCCACUUCCGACCACUAACGUUUGUUUUAUUGUAAUAAAUCCACCCUCUGGGGCCUUAUUUUGCA